GUUUGAUUCUGGCUCAGGACGAACGCUGGCGGCGUGCCUAACACAUGCAAGUCGAGCGAAGUGCUUACAGCGGAAUCCUUCGGGGUGAAGCAGUAAGUAUCUUAGCGGCGGACGGGUGAGUAACGCGUGAGGAACCUGCCUUCCACAAGGGGAUAGCCUCGGGAAACUGGGAUUAAUACCCUAUGACACUUAAGUAUCGCAUGAUACUUAGGUUAAAGCGUAAAGCGGUGGAAGAUGGCCUCGCGUCCCAUUAGCUAGUUGGUGAGGUAACGGCUCACCAAGGCGACGAUGGGUAGCCGGCCUGAGAGGGUGGACGGCCACACUGGAACUGAGACACGGUCCAGACUCCUACGGGAGGCAGCAGUGGGGAAUAUUGCACAAUGGGCGAAAGCCUGAUGCAGCGACGCCGCGUGAGCGAAGAAGGCCUUCGGGUCGUAAAGCUCUGUCCUAUGGGACGAUAAUGACGGUACCAUAGGAGGAAGCCCCGGCUAACUACGUGCCAGCAGCCGCGGUAAUACGUAGGGGGCAAGCGUUGUCCGGAAUGACUGGGCGUAAAGGGUACGUAGGCGGUUAUGUAAGUCAGGUGUGAAAGGCUAGGGCUCAACCCUAGUAAGCACUUGAAACUGCGUGACUUGAGUCGAGGAGAGGAAAGUGGAAUUCCUGGUGUAGCGGUGAAAUGCGUAGAUAUCAGGAGGAAUACCAGUGGCGAAGGCGACUUUCUGGCCUUGGACUGACGCUGAGGUACGAAAGCGUGGGGAGCAAACAGGAUUAGAUACCCUGGUAGUCCACGCCGUAAACGAUGAGUGCUAGGUGUCGGGGAGUAAUCUUCGGUGCCGAAGUUAACACAUUAAGCACUCCGCCUGGGGAGUACG
rnacentral:rRNA from 1 species